UACGGAGGGGGCGAGCGUUAUUCGGAAUUAUUGGGCGUAAAGGGCGCGUAGGCGGCUUGAUAAGUCAAAGGUGAAAUCCCUCGGCUCAACUGAGGAACUGCCUUUGAAACUGUCAGACUUGAGGCCGGGAGGGGGUAGCGGAAUUCCCAGUGUAGCGGUGAAAUGCGUAGAUAUUGGGAGGAACACCGGUGGCGAAGGCGGCUACCUGGACCGGUUCUGACGCUGAUGCGCGAAAGCGUGGGAUAGCAAACAGG
rnacentral:rRNA from 1 species